rnacentral:rRNA from 1 species
AACGUAGGACGCAAGCGUUAUCCGGAAUUACUGGGCGUAAAGCGCGUGUAGGUGGUUAGAUAAGUCACUGUUGAAAGCUCCCGGCUAAACUGGGAGAGGUGCGGUGAGACUGUCUGGCUAGAGUGUAGGAGAGGGAUGCAGAAUUCCGGGUGUAGUGGUGAAAUGCGUAGAGAUCCGGAGGAAUACCAGAGGCGAAGGCGGCAUCCUGGCCUAAUACUGACACUGAGACGCGAAAGCAUGGGGAGCGAACGGG